rnacentral:snRNA from 1 species
AUACUUACCUGGCGUAGGGGAUACCGCGAUCAUACAUGCGGUUCCCCCAGGGUGAGGCUGCUCCAUUGCACUGCGGAGCGGUUGACCCUUGCGAUAAUUUUUAUUUUUAUCAAUAAAAAAAUCAUAAUAAAAAUAAUAAUACCCGAAUAAUUAUUUU